UACAGAGGUCUCGAGCGUUAGGCGGAAUCACUGGGCUUAAAGCGUGUGUAGGCGGAUCGUUAAGUACCUUGUGAAAUCCCACGGCUCAACCGUGGAACUGCUUGGUAUACUGGCGGUCUUGGGCCAUCUAGGGGCGAGCGGAACAAACGGUGGAGCGGUGAAAUGCGUAGAUAUCUGGAGGAACACCGGUGGCGAAGGCGGCAUCCUGGACCAACACUGACGCUGAGUGAGCGAAAGCCAGGGGAGCAAACGGG
rnacentral:rRNA from 1 species